UUCAACCUUGUCACUUUAGCCAAUUGUUUAAACUUGCCUAAACACUUUGAUCCUCUUUGAUAAUUCUUUGAUUCCUUAAAUGGUUAAACUUAAACAAUUUGUCGAUCUUAAUUGUUAUCUAUCAAGUAUUGAACUUAGGGCUCACCAUUUAAUGUGUCAUAAUUAAACUCUGCCUUUUGUGUAAACUAAAUUCAUCGACAAUUUGAUCUUGAUUUUUGGAUUAUUUAUUCAGUCUCUUUUUUUAUUCAUUGAAGGCCAAUAAUUUGAUCUUUAUUCUCUAAUCAAGUAAUCUUAUUCAAUCUUCAUCUAUAUAAAAGCAGUUGAACUCGCGAUUAAAAGAUCAGAAGUCAGAUAACAUUCAAACUAGUAAUAUCAAACAUCAACAGCAUUUGGAACUGUAAUCCGAGAUAAACUUCAACAUGAAAUUAACUUUUCUAUUUCUUGUUUGCUUCUUUACCUUCCAAUCUUCCUUCCUCUUUUCUUCGGCUCUUGACUCAAUGCUCAGUUCAUCCAAGCCUUUACCAUUCAACUUUGAGAUAAAACCACUUCAUCAUCAUCAUUGCAAAUGUGAAGAGGAACAUCAUUACCAUCACCACAAAUACAAGGACCACCAUCAUAAACAUGAUCACGGUCAUAAUCACGGCCAUGAUCAUGGGCACGAUCAUCACCACGGACACGAUCAUCAUCAUGAAGGUGGCUGGCGUUGAUUCAAUUCCUCUCAUCUAUCGACAACUUCCUACAACCUAAUGUAUUUAUUGCUGGUUAAGCUGAUUCUAUUUGCUAUUUAUUAGACUAAUAUUGUAGAUAAAUGAUUAUUUUUCUGUAAUUCAAUUAUAAAGAUCAGUUCAUUAAAUUAUUUGUACAUAACUUAA